rnacentral:rRNA from 1 species
GGGGAAUUUUGGACAAUGGGCGCAAGCCUGAUCCAGCCAUGCCGCGUGAGUGAAGAAGGCCUUCGGGUUGUAAAGCUCUUUCGCAAGGGAAGAAAACGGCAAGGCUAAUAUCUUUGUCGGAUGACGGUACCUUGACAAGAAGCACCGGCUAACUACGUGCCAGCAGCCGCGGUAAUACGUAGGGUGCGAGCGUUAAUCGGAAUUACUGGGCGUAAAGCGUGCGCAGGCGGUUUUGUAAGACAGAUGUGAAAUCCCCGGGCUUAACCUGGGAACUGCGUUUGUGACUGCAAGGCUAGAGUACGGCAGAGGGGGGUGGAAUUCCACGUGUAGCAGUGAAAUGCGUAGAUAUGUGGAGGAACACCGAUGGCGAAGGCAGCCCCCUGGGCCUGUACUGACGCUCAUGCACGAAAGCGUGGGGAGCAAAC